CUAAUACAGGUGGAAUUUAAUUCAGAACUCCAAAUUCCAAAUUCUAUGCUCACUUUAUUUUGCUAAGCCCCAGAGAACACAUUUUGAAGGAAGAGUUCAAAUUGCUGGGGCACCUGACAGGAACAUUACCAGUAUCAGCUCUCGCUGGGAGAAAUUCCACUCAAAGGGAGCAAGGACAUAGACUGUAUGCCAUAGAGCAUAGCACAUGCUAAUAAUGGUGGUGUUUAUAAGAAUUGGAAGAAUCUGUUUGCAUCAGCAAUGACAGGAAGGAAGGCUGCCUUCUCUUGUUGAGAAUCUAAUCAGUUGUACUUUUAGGUAGAGUCUGAGAUUACAGAUCUUGAAGAAACUGUGAAAAACAUUGGGAUAGGAACUCAGUUAUAUUGUUAAACUCUGCAUGACUGGCCCAUACCAUAUAGGAAGGGGCGUGUCUUUGAAUGCUGAGUUUAGAAGGAAAAACUAGGAGUGUAAUCCAGAUUCUUACCCUCUUUUCUUCAUAUUAAGAGCUGGCAUCCCCACAAAGCCUGUGUCCUCAUCUGCUCCUCCAGACUGCAAGUUUUACAGAUGUGGGUACCAGACAUGGAGAUUUGUAGAUGCCAACAUCAUACAUGAGUUUUACAGAUACAGGUACUAUGUACAGUUUUACAGAUGCAGGCACCAUACGUGGAGAUCACUGGUGACAGAAUCUUCCUUGCAAGCCUAUCACUGGGAACAGAAAGUGCAUAUGCGACCAGUAGGAGGCAAGCACAUGGAGCCCAGAGAAUUCCUCUCACUGAAUUAUUAUCUUAGAAAAGGUCCUACUUUACACAAGAUCAGAGUCCAACUCUCCGAAAGCCAGGUUUGGAUUCACAGAAAGUGGAAGGUAAAAGUUAUGACCAUUUUUAGAAGCAAAUUCUGUUUUUAUUAAGAAUAGAAUUUGGCUUUGGUCACAUCUUUGCUGGUUUCCUACUUUGAGAGACAUUUUUCUUUCCCGAGCAAUGUUCCUCUUUAAUUUUCUUCUUAGCAUCAGGACAAAAAUAGCUGGCUGAACCCCAUAUUCAAAGCCAUGUGAGGACUGCCGUGGAUGGGCUCAUCAGCUCCACGAAGCUACGUCCUGGAAGAAAAGAGCUCUCCUAUCAAGGACCAACUACAGGGUCUGCAGAUCCCCCACCGGGCUGUGCUGAAGCUGCGAGGAGGAGAGACCUACAGGCAGAAAGAGAAGCCUGCACUGUCCCCGCUGGGCUGGCUUGUGGUAGUGAGACUUUCAGCUGUCUGGAGUAAAGGGGCAAUCAGUAGGAAAAGACAGACUAAUUCUCAUAGUCCCUGCCUUUGACUGGUUCCUGUGAGGAGACAAACUGAAAACAGUGGGAAAUUUAAAUACCAGAUUGAAUGAGACUGGAAAGUAAGAACAGGAGUGUUGGAAACCAGAAUUUGUUGGAGCCUCUGGCAGCCUACAG
rnacentral:lncRNA from 1 species